rnacentral:rRNA from 1 species
GAUGAACGCUGGCGGCGUGCUUAACACAUGCCAGUCGAACGAAGCAUUUGCGACAGAUUUUUUCGGAAUGAAGUUGCUUAUGACUGAGUGGCGGACGGGUGAGUAACGCGUGGGUAACCUGCCUUGUACUGGGGGAUAGCAGCUGGAAACGGCUGGUAAUACCGCAUAAGCGCACAAUGUUGCAUGACAUGGUGUGAAAAACUCCGGUGGUAUAAGAUGGACCCGCGUCUGAUUAGCUAGUUGGUGAGAUCACAGCCCACCAAGGCGACGAUCAGUAGCCGACCUGAGAGGGUGACCGGACACAUUGGGACUGAGACACGGCCCAGACUCCUACGGGGGGCAGCAGUGGGGAAUAUUGCACAAUGGAGGAAACUCUGAUGCAGCGACGCCGCGUGAGUGAAGAAGUAAUUCGUUAUGUAAAGCUCUAUCAGCAGGGAAGAUAGUGACGGUACCUGGAUAAGAAGCUCCGGCUAAAUACGUG